GCCAGAUGUAUUUUGAAUUCAAAUAUACUUAAAUUUUAGAAAAGUAAUGUAGUCUAUUAUGUAAUACCAACAGCAGAGACUUUGGCAUUGAAUAAUCAAACACAUUUAUAAAAUAUUUCAGCAGGGAUAUUUGUGAAUAUUCAUACAAGGUAAGACAAAUAAAUAUGAUACAUAACUUUAUUUCAGUGUAAGCCAGCUUAAAUGAAUUCAGGCUGCAUACGUGUUCAGAUUGCCUCAAAAUAGAUUAUAAUUUUUUUUCAGUUUUCUGAGACUUUGGAUAUCAGAAUUGCAGAUAAGAGGAGAUUGGGGACUUCAAUUAAUAUUAGAAUGAAGAGAGGGGACUCUAGUAUUCAAUUCAGGAACAGAGAAGAAAUAGAAAUAUUCCAGGACUAAGUGAAGAAAAUGCAAAUUAAUAUGACCAGCAAAGGUAAGGAGUAAAGUGAAAAUUAUAUAAAACCUAGUCAACACCUUGUAUAUAUUUUAAGAAUUACAGAGUAAGGCAAAGGGGAUAAGCAAAAAUUCGUUAGGUAAUGGCAUGGGAAGAUCACAGAUGGGUGAAGGUAAUUAGAUAAUAUAAUUAUUUCUCCUUAGAUAUAACAAAUAAGGGGACAAACGGGUAUGCCCUCUGGUAAAUAUUGAUCUACAUAGUUGAUAUAGAGAAACUAUGGAAAUCACAUCAUAUUCGAAAACCAUACAUUAAAACCUCUAGACAUUUAUGAAUUUUAUUAUUUAUUUAUUUAUUUAUUUAUUUAUUUAUUUAUUUAUUUAUUUAUUUUG
rnacentral:lncRNA from 1 species